CGCGCGUACGCUCAUGUACGAGAGUCACGCGUCCACUCACAACCGCCCACUUCCCUUAUCCUCUCUCACGGGUGCUGCUGGCCACACAAUCAAUCCACAUCCAUCUUUUUCUUCCACCUCCUGUGACGCCGCUGCUCCCACCGCUCCAUCUCUUAUUACUCGGCUGUCAUUUGGUGUGCCACCGCCGCGAGCGUUGCCAUGGAGCCGAAGCGGCCACCAGCAGAUCAGCAGCCGUGCCUGCUACUUCGGAGGUCCUCACUUUUUUGCUGCAAUCGGUUUGUGGGAAGCUGCAACCGGCCGUCUAGGAGCUGCGACCGGCGACGGCCACCUGCGGGAUGCGGCGGCGCUGGAAACGGUGACAUCAGGGAUGCUGGAACCCGUGGUGUUUUUUGCUGCUACCAGCUGUAAUUUUUGCUGGAACUGGCUCGGCGAAGAUUAGCCGCGGGCGGGGGUGGCCGGCAAGCACGGGCGGCGCGGGGGUGGCCGGCAAGCAUGGGCGCGAGCGCGGGGGCGGCCGGCAAACAUGGGCACGAGCACGGACGGCGCGAGUGUGGCCGGCGAGCAUGGGCGCGAGCACGGACGGCGCGAGGGUGGGCGAGCACAGGCGCGGAUGCGGACGGCGCGAGGGUGGGCGAGCACAGGCGCGGAUGCGGACGGCGCGAGGAUGGCCGGGAGCACGGGUUCGAGCGCGGGCAGUGCAGGGUGGCCGGCAAGCAUGGAUUGCGCGAGACAGGCGGCGAGCAUGGAGAUCUCCCUUUUUUCUUUUUUCUUCACGCGUGUGUGAAAGGGAGAAGACGACUCAAUCGCGCUAUCCAGACCGUUUAUUUGUACAGGAUCCAACGCCUGGCAGCGGACCGGCCAAAACUUCGGCCGGUGCGCCGGCGCCUAGCGUCGCCCAAAAUCGUCCUAUACCGUGUGGUAUGCGCGUGCGGUGGAGUGUAGGUGUAGUGUGAGAAGCUCCUAGCGUGUCGUCUUGUGUCUCAAAAAGAAAUGCAGUUCGUACUGAGCAUCAGUGACAAAUGUUCGAUCGAGCUUACCAACACGUCAUUAUUCAUACGUCGCUUCAAGAUCGUUCGCAGCUUCGGCCGGUCGACUCGCUCAGUCACGCGCGUACGCUCAUGUACAAGAGCCACGCGUCCACUCACAACCGCCCACUUCCCUUAUCCACUCUCACGGGUGCUGCUGGCCACACAAUCAAUCCACAUCCAUCUUUUUCUUCCACCUCCUGUGACGCCGCUGCUCCCACCGCUCCACCUCUUAUUACUCGGCUGUCAUUUGGUGUGCCACCGCCGCGAGCGUUGCCGUGGAGCCGAAGCGGCCACCAGCAGAUCAGCAGCCGUGCCUGCUACUUCGGAGGUCCUCACUUUUUUGCUGCAAUCGGUUUGUGGGAAGCUGCAACCGGCCGUCUAGGAGCUGCGACCGGCGACGGCCACCUGCGGGAUGCGGCGGCGCUGGAAACGGUGACAUCAGGGAUGCUGGAACCCGUGGUGUUUUUUGCUGCUACUAGCUGUAAUUUUUGCUGGAACUGGUGUGUUCUUUUUCCUUGGAUCGGUGUCGGCGGUGAUUUUCUGCUGGAACCAAGUUCUAUUUUUGCUGGAACCAGUGAUAUGUUUUCUGCUAUGGGAGGAAUUUUUUGUUGGAACUGGUGUUUCCUUCGCUGGAAUUGGUGCCAGCGGUGAAUUUUGUUGGAACCAAGAUGUUUGUUUUGCUGGAAACAUAGAUGUGUUUUGCUGCCACCGACGGUAAUUUUUGCUACAUGGUACUACCAUCGUCUCUGAAUCUUGCUGGAACCAAGAUGUUGUUUUGCUGGAAACAGAGAUGUGUUUUGCUGCUACUGACGGUAAUUUUUGCUACUUGGUAAUACCAUCGUCUCUGAAUUUUGCAAGAUCCAGUACUCUUUUUUUUGGUACCAUUGCUUUGCUUUUUGCUGCAACCAAAUGAUUUUUUUGCUACCACUGUCUUUGAGUUUUGCUGGAACCAAAUGAUUUUUUUGCUACCAUUGUCUUAGUUUUUUGCUGGAACUAGCACCUAUUUGUUCUACUAUCAUCUUUGGAUUUUUUGCUAGAAGUGUCGUCGAUUUUGCUACAACCGGCAAAUGUUUUUGCUACGUCCAUUCAUGACGAAGAUUAGCUACAUCCUUUUUUUCAUGGUGUUUCUGCAGGCUCGGCGAAGAUUAGCCGCGGGCGGGGGUGGCCGGCAAGCACGGGCGGCGCGGGGGUGGCCGGCAAGCAUGGGCGCGAGCGCGGGGGUGGCCGGCAAACAUGGGCACGAGCACGGACGGCGCGAGUGUGGCCGGCGAGCAUGGGCGCGAGCACGGACGGCGUGAGGGUGGGCGAGCACAGGCGCGGAUGCGGACGGCGCGAGGGUGGGCGAGCACAGGCGCGGAUGCGGACGGCGCGAGGAUGGCCGGGGAGCACGGGUUCGAGCGCGGGCGGCGCAGGGUGGCCGGCAAGCAUGGAUUGCGCGAGACAGGCGGCGAGCAUGGAGAUCUCCCUUUUUUCUUUUUUCUUCACGCGUGUGUGGAAGGGAGAAGACGACUCAAUCGCGCUAUCCAGACCGUUUAUUUGUACAGGAUCCAACACCUGGCAGCGGACCGGCCGAAACUUCGGCCGGUGCGCCGGCGCCUAGCGUCGCCCAAAAUCGUCCUAUACCGUGUGGUAUGCGCGUGCGGUGGAGUGUAGGUGUAGUGUGAGAAGCUCCUAGCGUGUCGUCUUGUGUCUCAAAAAGAAAUGCAGUUCGUACUGAGCAUCAGUGACAAAUGUUCGAUCGAGCUUACCAACA